rnacentral:rRNA from 1 species
GACGAACGCUGGCGGCGUGCCUAAUACAUGCAAGUCGAACGCAGUGGGGACGGGUGAGUAACACGUGGGUAACCUCCCAUCAGAGGGGAUAACACUUGGAAACAGGUGCUAAACCGAUACUGUUGGCUGGCCCCGGGGUGCAUUAGCCAGUUGGUGAGGUACCGGCGCACCAAGGCCACGAUGCAUAGAUGACCUGAAAGGGUGAUAGGCCACACUGGGCCUGAGAAACGGCCCAGACUCCUACGGGAGGCAGCAGUAGGGAAUCUUCGGCAAUGGACGAAAGUCUGACCGAGCAACGCCGCGUGAGUGAAGAAGGUUUUCGGAUCGUAAAACUCUGUUGUUAGAGAAGCGGUAUCUAACCAGAAAGCCACGGCUAACUACGUGCCAGCAGCCGCGGUAAUAC